rnacentral:rRNA from 1 species
CGCACUCCUACGGGAGGCAGCAGUGGGGAAUAUUGCACAAUGGGCGCAAGCCUGAUGCUAGCCAUGCCGCGUGUAUGAAGAAGGCCUUCGGGUUGUAAAGUACUUUCAGCAGUGAGGAAGGUGGGUAUGUUAAUAGCAUAUUCAUUUGACGUUAGCUGCAGAAGAAGCACCGGCUAACUCCGUGCCAGCAGCCGCGGUAAUACGGAGGGUGCGAGCGUUAAUCGGAAUUACUGGGCGUAAAGCGCAUGCAGGUGGUUUGUUAAGUCAGAUGUGAAAGCCCGGGGCUCAACCUCGGAAUUGCAUUUGAAACUGGCAAACUAGAGUACUGUAGAGGGGGUAGAAUUUCAGGUGUAGCGGUGAAAUGCGUAGAGAUCUGAAGGAAUACCGGUGGCGAAGGCGGCCCCCUGGACAGAUACUGACACUCAGAUGCGAAAGCGUGGGGAGCAAACAGGAUUAGAUACCCUGGUAG